rnacentral:lncRNA from 1 species
AUAAGUAUUUAAUAUUACCACCAACUUUUUCUUGUCGUGUGGGAUGACAAACUAGAGAGUUACGAAUUUUUCGUACUAAAUUUGGCGAUAAGGGAGAUACGGUGUAUACGAAGAGGUCGCUAUUUACUCAUCUGGUAAAAAUAUGCAUAUGUGCUACCUUUUUUAGACGAUAAUAGGGACCUUUUGAAACAGAUGGCAGAUUUUCAGAAAAUUAUGGAGUUACGCAGUUUACAGAUUAGGUCAACGAUUUUUAAAA